rnacentral:rRNA from 1 species
UCGGGGUGCAGCAGGCGCGAAAACUUUACAAUGCUGGCAACAGCGAUAAGGGGACCUCGAGUGCCAGGAUACAAUCUUGGCUGUCGUGAUGCCUAAAAAGCAUUGCAUAGCAAGGGCCGGGCAAGACCGGUGCCAGCCGCCGCGGUAACACCGGCGGCUCGAGUGGUAACCGCUAUUAUUGGGUCUAAAGGGUCUGUAGCCGGCCGGAUAAGUCUCUUGGGAAAUCCGACAGCUCAACUGUCGGGCUUUCAGGGGAUACUGUUCGGCUCGAGGCCGGGAGAGGUGAGAGGUACUUCAGGGGUAGGGGUGAAAUCUUGUAAUCCUUGAAGGACCACCAGUGGCGAAGGCGUCUCACCAGAACGGUCCUGACGGCAAGGGACGAAAGCUAGGGGCACGAACCGGAUUAGAUACCCGGGUAGUCCUAGCCGUAAACGAUACUCGCUAGGUGUCGGCCACGGUGCGACCGUGGUCGGUGCCGUAGGGAAGCCGUGAAGCGAGCCACCUGGGAAGUACGGCCGCAAGGCUGAAACUUAAAGGAAUUGGCGGGGGAGCAC